AUGCUCUGCCAGAUCCUCGGUCAGGCCAAGAAGCAUCCGAGCUUGAUCCCCCUCUUUGUAUUUAUUGGAACUGGAGCUUCUGGAGCAACACUGUAUCUCUUGCAUCUGGCAUUGUUCAAUCCAGAUGUUUGUUGGGACAGAAAUAACCCAGAGCCCUGGAACAAACUGGGUCCCAAUGAUCAAUACAAGUUCUGCUCAGUGAAUGUGGAUUACAGCAAGCUGAAGAAGGAAUGUCCAGAUUUCUAA
rnacentral:lncRNA from 1 species